ACUAGAACAGUUAUAACGAGAUGUUUAUCAAAAGACCUUAUGACUUAUCCCAAAAAUAUAUCAAAAUAUCAAAUUGCACUGCCACUGUUGCACAUGUUAGAAAACAUCAGCAUCAUUCACUAAUCCAGUAUCCCUAUUGAGUUUGCCAUUUAGGUUGGAAAGGAAUAUUUGGACUUGUAAAGGAAAGUGAUAUAGUCAUACAUUUAAUCAUUCUUUGGGACAAGAUUAUUUGCUAGGCCUGUCUUUGAGGUUAGGGGCAUGGGUUCUACCAAAGUGAACACUGGCCCUUAGUCGUGAACAGAAAACCAUAUUGCUCUGCCUUGGCUUAGUAUGGUUUCUGUUGGUGAGUGACGUUACUAUUAGAUUUCACAUAGGAGAAAAAGAAAUUAAAAAUAAAAGAAUACAACCAUUAUUUCAUGGGAAAGAAGACUAGUAUAAGUUACCUGAGAUUUUGAAGUUACUUGUUGCACAACCUUUUUGGAACCCUUGGUCACUGUUUGCUGGCUACCCAAGUCAGCAAGAAUACUAUCCAGAGACCAAAGAAGAAAGAAACUGAGUGCCUCAGGAGAUCGAUGAUUUAUCCAGUCAGCUGAUGUCUUGUAUACAGCUUCAGAUAUGUGAGAAAGUGGCACCU
rnacentral:lncRNA from 1 species